rnacentral:lncRNA from 1 species
GCGCGCUCUGAAGGAACGCUGAGAACGUCGUUCCUCACGGUUUUGCCCCGCAAAAGGCGCCUCACGUGGGCAAGAGGGAGCCCGCACUCAUAAGCGAUAGACACUCUCGACUGUGGUCGAUAUGGGACUUUCGAAGCUCGGCCUCCCGAUGCCCGACCCACAACACAGCCCCCCAGUCGAGAGGGUCUGCGCGUGGGUGCGGGGACGGGUUCCCCUACCUGGCGCGCCAAUGUUAAGGCUACGCGCUCGGAGUACGGAGCCUUCCCCCCUCCACCAAAUACGUGAGGUAUUGUUCGCUCUGGGAU